ensembl:misc_RNA Metazoa_SRP Metazoan signal recognition particle RNA
GCUGGGCAGGGUGGCUCAUGCCUGUAAUCCCAGCACUUUGGGAGGCCGAGGCGGGUGGAUCACCUGAGGUCAGGAGUUCCAGACCAGCCUGGCCAACAUGGUGAAACCCCGUCUCUA